rnacentral:rRNA from 1 species
AUUGAACGCUGGCGGCAGGCUUAACACAUGCAAGUCGAGCGGGGGAAGGUAGCUUGCUACCGGACCAAGCGGCGGACGGGUGAGUAAUGCUUAGGAAUCUGCCUAUUAGUGGGGGACAACAUCUCGAAAGGGAUGCUAAUACCGCAUACGUCCUACGGGAGAAAGCAGGGGAUCUUCGGACCUUGCGCUAAUAGAUGAGCCUAAGUCGGAUUAGCUAGUUGGUGGGGUAAAGGCCUACCAAGGCGACGAUCUGUAGCGGGUCUGAGAGGAUGAUCCGCCACACUGGGACUGAGACACGGCCCAGACUCCUACGGGAGGCAGCAGUGGGGAAUAUUGGACAAUGGGGGGAACCCUGAUCCAGCCAUGCCGCGUGUGUGAAGAAGGCCUUAUGGUUGUAAAGCACUUUAAGCGAGGAGGAGGCUACUCUAGUUAAUACCUAGGGAUAGUGGACGUUACUCGCAGAAUAAGCACCGGCUAACUCUGUGCCAGCCGCCGCGGUAA